ACCUCUCUAGCUCAGUUGGUAGAGCGUCAGCCUUUUAAGCUGGUGGUCAAGGGUUCGAGCCCCUUGGGAGGUG